AAGUUUCUCGCCUUGAUCACCUUUUUCGUUUACCAAUAUAAAGAGACGUAGGACGUCUCAGCGAGUUUCUUAAGAGUGCGUAGCACAGAGUCAGAGAGCUAAGAAGCGAAGAUUGAUAAUAAAGAGAUCCAAUGAAGAAAUCAAAGUGCCUCUCCAAACUGCUUCUCUUUCCUACGAUCGCGACCCCAAUGACUUUAUUCCUUAGGCUCGACCUGGCUCAUGCCGACUCAUGGCGCAUCAGCAGCAGCAGCAACAUCAGUUAUGUGAAAGAUCUUAUGGAGACCAGUUUCUCCAUUGAUCCUAUCACAGUCUCUCUGGCUGAAACGAUUAAGCCAAACACUGAUACGUAUCCUUCGGGUGAUCCAAAUAAUAAUCCUGGUUGUCCUCAAAACAUACGAUAUACGACUAGCAGCGUCCCUCCGAAAAGUCCUCCGUCAACUAAACAACCUUGUGGCGACUUUACCAAAGGUUGCCACGGAUGAAGAUCAUAAUGAUAUAGCAUGUUCGCGCGCGCGCACUGAGAGAGUUUGUAUUGAUUAUAUAUCUGGAUUUAUCUGCUUAAUUGGAGUCAUGUUAUUAUUAUCACUGUGUGUGUGUUUUCAUCUUAACAAUGUGUAGAAAGUCUAAAUCAGA